rnacentral:sRNA from 2 species
GCGCGCGUCAUCUGGGGAGUAGCCCGCCGUCCGCCUGGACGGUUCCCCGCGUCAACAUGCUUGGCCGAGAGGCCAUGGCGCGGGGAGGACGGAUCGUUCCGUCC